rnacentral:lncRNA from 1 species
UAACUUUUCUUUUGUGGUUGAUGAGGAAGACCUCAACAGAUGAGUUACAAUAAGGGACUAUUGGAUCAGAUCAGCUGGUACCCAGGGAACUUGAACGGACGAACUAGAUUCAUGAACAACCACCUUCAGUCGGUAAACCAUGAGGUUCAAGUGGCAUGGUCCUAUCCCUCAUCGUUCCAGGCUGCAUGUCUCAGAGAAUAAAAGGUGCCUAUGUGGUAAGUGUACCCUGGGGAAGGGAGAUGCCCAAGAAUUCUGUUUCAUUUACUAUAGCACAGUUUCUGGACCAACUCUUGGCUACUGAACCAAGGCCACAUGGGUCAAUGGGAAAGGCAGGGUCAGAAUCCAGAACCUCCAAAUCCGAGACCUGGUGGGACUCCAGUUCAUUCCUUUCUAAAUAUAAAAUUGAAGUAAUUACUGAUCAAAUGUGCCAUUGAGACGAAUAAUGAAAAGCUAAUAAUUGUUUUCCUUCCUUUUAAAGAAACACACCACACUCAGACACCCAUUUACAGAUAUUUUCAGUUAAAGUGUCACACAAUAUUUGUUAUAUCAGCAGGAGAAUGGAAAUUGAGUUGGCAGUGAAGCAUUGCAGUGACAACUGUUACCUUGGAAACUGUAGUAAGCAAUCAUAAUUACAAUUAGCAAGACUUGCACAAAGUAUACAUAAAUAUUCACGUGCCAGGGAUGAGUGUCACAUACACCAGACAGCAGAGGAAAUGGUGGGACUGUUUCUUUCUCUUUGACAUGUCCUUGCACGGAAUUGGGUUCUGUAACCACAUAUCACAGCUUCUUCGAAUUUAGGUAAAUAUAUUUCCUUAUGUGCUGGUGUUGGGGCUUGUACCAUAAUGACAUUUGACACCCAGCAGAUUACUUGGAAGCUUCAACUGACCCUUAGUUGAAGUAUGACCAGUCCUAAAUGGACUUUUAACAAAGCCUGAUCUCACAAGAAAAAAAGGCAAUUGUAAAUAAUAAAUGGUGCUGUAGCCCCA